AAUAGCGAUGGCCGGAGCUGGAACAUUCUUAAUGUUGCCUCUGUCCACCUCCGCCAGGAACUCGGUGUAAGAGUGAAUAGCUUCCUCCUCCAGAUACCCCACCAUGCGAUGAGCGAAUUUGGGGGAGAUGAGGUAGCCGAGGAAGUAAGCAUUGAAGAAAACACCUUGAACAGUAAACACCAGAGCACGCUCAUACCACCUGGGAUUUGACACCUCCAUGAAUGUCAUGAGAUGCAUCCGCUCGUUCUCAGCCUCUUCAAGUAAUGCUUUGAUCCAUCCUCCACUGUGCUCAAAUCGCCUCAAGGACUUGCAGUGCAGCAGCAUGCCUCCUACCAUUCCUGGCACUGCUGCCACCGUCUCCAACAUCAUUGCACGGCAGCCAUACCUUCUCUGUUACACGAAUAAGACCAAGUUCUUAAUGCAUCAAUUUGUGUUCAAGAUUUGCCUUGCACAUCUAACAAUCUAGUUGGUAAUUAUUGUCAAUGUAAUCCAUUGAUGCUCAUUGAUCUUUCCCUUUGAGAAAGGCAAGAAAUCAAUAGAAACAUCUUUCCUAAACUCAGUUUUUGGUAAGUAUUCAUGAAAGAACAUUUACCUUGAUCAUUUUUACCCUACAAUUUCAUUUCAUGGAUACAUACCAAUCAAUUGACAGGAUAAUCCUCUGUCAAUUUGUAGCUGUCCUCUGUUACUGUAGCUCUGACAACAACAGAGGGGAUAACCCUAGCAUCCUGUAUUGCCUCAAAAAACAACACAGAAAUCAAAAUUUAGGGUCCAACAGCAACAUUUUAAUGGAUAAUCCUUCAAUUUUUGUUCACCAAAAACAAAAUCUUGCAUAAUCUGUCAAUCCAAAGAAAUAUGAGCACAAGCUAUUUAUGAAAUCUGAGUAAAAAAACCUCAAUUGAUUUGAUCAAAAACAAAAGAAAAGAUGGGUAAAUGAAUCGACCAUACCUGAAAGAACAGAUCAGUGGGCCAUCUGAGAGACUUGACAGUCCAAAAGCCAUUUUGUCCAAAAAAGUGACAGGGGCAUGAUGCUUCGUCAGAUUAAUUGAUAAAUCAGCAGAAUAUGUCUCCCAUGGCUUCAAUUUCAUAUAGCAAACCAUAAGCAAAAGAUCAAUCUUCAAAUCCAACAAGAAAAAGAAAAACACACAUAUAUCUUAACAAGAACAAAAAAAAUCCCAACGAAACAAAAAAAAAAACUAUUUUUAAUCAAGAAAGCAUGAAACUUUGAUUCAGGAAACCAAAACCAUACAUGAAAAAGAAGAGCCCAUAAGCAUUUAUCAAUGAAAACCAAAACAGAAGGCAAAAAAGUUGAAAGCUUUAAAGAAAGAAGCAAUCUUACUCUAAAACAAUUCCACUUCCACUCAGUUCCAUCUUCUUUAGUAACCCUACUAGGAGGAACACCCCAGUAACUAACAGUACUCUCCUUCUUCUCCUCUUUAUCACCACCACCACCCUCCGCAACCGGCUGAACAUUCUGUUGUUGAUCCUUCUCACUAAAACUUGCAGUACUCCCAUGUCUCAAACCAAACACCGAACCCCGAACCAAAAAUUCACCAACAUCCCCACGCACAACAUCCCCAUGAAAUCCCAUCGCUUUAGCAUGGACAGCCUCUUUGACUAACAUCCCACGGGCGGUGGCUGUUGAGAAACAACGUGCAACCAACAUCAUGGAACUCGCCAACUUGGUGGCUCCUCCGCGACCUGCCAUCAUCAACAUCUUGAAGAUCAAGAAUGGUAACAAGAAGGGAAGUAUUCUUUUCUUGCAGGAAUUCUUUUGUUAGAAAGUUUGGAGAGAAGGAAAGAGGGAGGCUUUUUGGUCGUUUUAUUUUGUUGGGGUUUAAGAGAUGUUUUCCCUCUCUAUUUAUAUGUGGGGUUUAAGAGAUGUUUUUCCUCUAUAUUAUUCAUGCCUAUGCCAUGAAGCUUCUAACGACGUACACAAUAUAUAAAUAUAAAAUUCAUGCUUAUCUUUUAAGCUUCUAACAAAGUACAAGUGUGUAUAUUCCUAAUUUUAAUUAAUUUUAGGGUUAUCUUUAGGUUAUUAAUUAAAGACUCGUUUGUUGGUAGCAUAGUAUAUUUUUUUAAAAGAAUUUAUUUUUUUGAAAAGUGAUUUAAAAAAAAAUGAAUUUCAGAAAAAUAAAUUAUUUUCUAAUAUUUGCUAGUGUAGAAAAUAAGUUGAAAAAUACUUUCCAAGUUAUGUUAUGAAAAAUAAAUUGAAAAAUAGUUUAUUAAUAUUUUUUUCAAGUUCAUUAAAAUAAUAAGAAACAAAUCUUACAAAUUAAAAGGUUAAAUGAAAAUAGAAUUGAAAAAAAAAUCUAAUUUCAUAAAUUAUCUCAAAUAAAAUAAAUAAUAAUCAAAAUAAUAAAGAUCAAAUCUAAUAAAUAAAAAAAUUAAAAAUAAUGAAAUUAAAAUAAUUAUAAUUAUAAUUUCAUAAAUUAUUUUAAAUAAAAUAAAUAACAAUAAAAAAAUAAGGACCAAAUUUGAUAGAUAAAAAAAUUCAAUUUAAAAAAUAAUAAGAGAAAAUUAAUUAACAAUCAUAAAAAUAAGGACCAACGUUAAUAUAAAAAUCAAAUUAAAUUAAAUUUUAAGGGAUGAAUUUGAAGAAGAAAAAAUAUUCAAACAAAAUAUAUAACAAUUAAAAAUUUGAGAAUCAAAUUUGAUAUAAUCAACAAAUAAUAUGAUAUUUUUUUAUUUUUUCUCAAGUUUUAAAAUGUGUUUUCCGCUUAAAAUAAAAAGAAAACACAUUCCUGGAAAUCAAACCAAAUUUUUUUGAUAAAAAAAAUAUUUUUUGUUGAUUAGAAAAUAUUUUUUAUUUAUCAAAUUUUUAAUAAUAAAAAAAAUUUAAAAAUAACUUCUGAAAACUGCUAUCUAGAAAAUAAACUCACCCUAAAAAACGAUUGUUUGGCUUUUAUUAUUCAUGCCUGCAUGUCUCACGAAGCUUCUACCAAAGUACAUGUUUUGCGGUACCAUCUAGCCAGUGUCUAUAUAUAUAUAUAUAUAAGUACAAGUUUUUGAUACCAUCUAGAAAGUACAAGUAUGGCCAACUUAGGUUUUGCAGCUUGCCCUAAAAUAUCUGAACUGGCAAAAUAAGAGCCAAACACUUCUUCUAAUUUUAUACUACAAACCUCCCUUUCAAUCCCCACCGUCACCGCUAACCAAUUGAUUAUUAAUUAACAACUUGUAUUCCGUUAUGGGAUGUAAUUUUUUUUUAAAAAAAUUGGGUAUACAAUUUAAUUUGAUAUACUUUUUGACAUAAAAAAUUAAAUGUAAAUCAAGGAAUUAAUUAAAUAAAAUCUAUAAUUACCUAUAUAAUAAAUAAAUAAAUAAUUGUUAACAGUAAUUAAAGUUGAAACUGAAAAAAUUAAGAGAUUAAUAUACAUAAAGAUACUUGAUUAUGCAAAAUGAGACAUUUAUUUUUUUUCUACUAAAUUUAUUUAUUAAAAUCAAUUAAAAAUAAAAAAAAUAAAAAAAUAUGAAAUUUAUUGAAUAAAAUAAAGAAAAAAAUAUUAUGCAGAGCAGAACAUAUGAGAAAUAUUAUUUUUAUAAAAUAAAGCUCAUUUGUAUAAAAGCAAAAUUAAAAAUAAAUACAAACAAGAUAUUUUAAAGAAAAACUCUAUUAAAAAAAGACAUGCAAACCUUGUGACUUAAGUUAUGAGACUAAGAUAAAUUCAUAUGAAAUAAAUUGAAAAUAAGCACAAAAUCAAUCUUUAAAAAAAAUAAUUUAGAAUGAUAAAAUCAUAAAAAAAAAAAGAUUUCAAACCGCAGUAACUUUUCAAACUGUGAGUCAUGUCAUUAGAUAAAAAGCACCACAAAUACAAAAACAUUAUGAAGCCCGAUCCUCAAUAAAUCAAAUAUCAAAAAAUAAAACAAAGAAAACAAAUAUUAAUCACACAAAAAAAAUACAAUUAAAAGAAUGUGGGUGAAAAUCAAAAUAAAAAAUAAAUAAGAGGGUAUCAAAAAAAAUUAAAUUGGAGGUUUAAAUUUAAAAGAAAAAACUUUAAUAAAAAGGAAAAUAAAUCAAAAGAACAAGGGCUAAAUUGAAAAAAAAUUUAAUUAAAAAGUAAAAUUGAAAACCAAUAAAAAAAGUGUCAAGAAAAAAAAUCAUAAAUCAAAAGAAGAAGAAUCAAAUUGAGAAAAAUAAUAAUUUAUAAUUUAACUAAAUUAAAAAUAUAAAAAAACUUUCAUAAAAGGACAAUGAGAAAAAUAAGCAAUUAAAAAAAUAAAGAAUAAAAUUGAAAAAUCAAAAGAAAAUAAGUUAAACAUAUACUUUUUUUAGAAGAGAAAGAACAUAAGUGGAAAAAAUAAGCGAAAUAACCACUAGAAACAAAUCAUUCGCUGCUAUGUGCUACAUCAACAAAAAAAAAAUAUAGUGAUGCUUUCGAAGACUCGAUAUAAUGAUAGUGGCCACUGGAUGCAUUGCACAUGUCAUCUAAAAAAUAUAAAUACCAUUCGCUAACAAUUUUUUUAAAUAAAAAAUUGUUUUUUAAAUUUAAAAAUACUACAAUAACCUUCGUGAGCAUGAAAAUUAAAAAAAGAUGCGUGAAUUGAUAAAAAGACCGCUGAAUAUAUAUACUUUAUUUUUUGUCUUUUCUAAGAGUAGAAACAUAUUUUAAAUUAACUUAUUUAUAUCAAGAAAAUGAACCUCCAAAAUUCUACAGAAAAGGACAAUUCAAAUAAUAACCGAAGAAAUUGCAAUAUGGAGUACGAGUUAAUUAAAUAGAAAUGCAUCGUGAUAAAGACAUUUAGCAUGAAUAAGUGAUAAAUAAACUUUCAAACUCGUUUCGAGAAAAUUGUUAAACCCUUCAAAUAGUAAUUCAAAUUCAAGUGCAGGGUGGUUAAUUUAGCUUCUCUGUACGGCGUCGUCUAGAGAGAAGGGCAUCCGAUGGUCAAGAAGUUUUCAGACUCGAAGGAUUAUUUUUUUCAUGCAAAUCGUGGCGCCGUAACGCCCUAGUAUUUUUUAUUUUUUCUUGGAGAACAAGUUUCGGAGAUUGCGUAAGACUUUGCCAUGCUGGAAUAUUCCUUUACCAUGAGAACGGGUCCGAGUUUUUCUCCUACUCCAUAAAUUUAUUGAUUUUUUAUAUUAAAAUUAACACAAUAAAUUUAAAAUAUUGAUGAAAUAAUAUAAUUUAUAAAAUAGUAUAUUUCAUACUAUCCAAAAGAUUAUAGAUGACCGGUCAAAAUUUAAUUCUUCUUAAAAAGCAAUUUCAAUUUUUUUUUAAUAUUAAAAUAACCAUAUCUUUGUUUGAUCUAAACCAAUUAAAAUUAACUUAUUAAAUUGGUGGUUUUAAAAAUAAACUUGAUUGAUUUUAAUAAUUUUUUUAAAAAAUCUAGUUUUUAUUUUAUAUCUAUACCUAGAUCACCUUAGUUUUAUGAUACUUUUUUUAAGGGAUGAACUUUUUUUAAAAAAAAAAAAAAAAAAAAAGAAGAUAAUAUGUCGCCUACAAAUGGUAGAUGGCUUAUCACCUACCUUCUUAGAAUUUGGCCACAAAGUUGGAUGGAAAAUCAAGGAUGUGUUUUUUUUUUUAAAAUCUAAUUUUUAGCUCAUUUGUGUAUAAUAAAACCUAAUAAAUCGUCUUAAAACUCUACAAAGACCCAUUUACUAACCUGACAAACAAUUGACCUCUUGUUUUUUUUCAUCGUUUUUCGGUAACUCUCUCUCUUCUCUUAAGCUUUAAGACAAAAUGUGAUGAAAAUGAAAUUUUGUAUCAAAAUGUAAAAAUCUCAUAAAAUAGAGUUCAAAAUUGAGAAAGAAACAAAAGAAAUAAGUAUUGGGACUAAAAUGCUAAAAACACACCCCAACUACAGUAAACACAAAAAUAAAACGUAUUAUAAUUUGUACCAACAUUAAUUUUCAUCCCCACAAAUUUAAUUAUAUUUAAUCAAUAAAAUCUAAUUUAAUUUUACCAAAUCAAGCAUUGAUUUAAUCCCAAAAUCUAUUGAAACAUUACGAGAAUAUCUGUAAAGAUAAUCAAGUCAAAUCAUUAACAUUCAUCUUAAAUUAACUAAAUUUGAAAUGAUUAAAUUGAAGAAAAAAAACUAGAUAAUUUAAAAAAAAAGACCAGAAUGAAAGAAAAAAAAUUGCCGUGCUCGGCAGUAUUUUAAGACACAAUGUACGUACAUUGAAAAUGUUAUGGGCAUUUUAAAAAAAAAAUAUUUGAUACUUAAUAAUUUUAUUUCUACAUCGGUAUGAACUAUGAACUAUGAAAGUACAAACUGAGUUGAGGUCCUGUUUUUUCCUCGGUGAGAAUCGUGAGGACUAGUUAGCUUGACAAUUUUGAAACCUCUUUUGGUCCUAAGUGUACUAUUUAUUCUCUAGGUCAACGUAUCUAUGCUGUAGUAAAUGUUUGAUUUUAUUUUUUUAAUUUCAUAAUUGGGUAUUUUAAUUGUUAUGUAUAAAAAAAGCUCACAAUCAAAUGCUUCUAUGGAUGUUCAUUUAAUAUAGAUGAGGUAUUUAUUUAAGUAUAUUAUCUCACUAAUAAUUAAAUGUGGUAUUUAUGCUUACAAUAUGUCUAGGAGGAAAACUUUUUAAAUUAAGAUAGAAUCUAUAUUUUUUUUUACUUGUGCCCAUAGUAUUGAAUUAUUUUUUUUAUUUAAGAUUUUGGUAUUUAUGCGAUUGUUUUAUAGACAUAUUAGCAAAUUUCUUGUAAAUAACACAACUAGUCACUUGAUUGUGACAUUAUUAAAAGACAAACAAGUCAAUUGAUAAAAAAAAUAAAAAUAAAUAUCUUAUUAUGAAAUAUACCUUUUUUUAUGGAUUUGAAUAUAAAAAAAGGGUUUUGAUUAAAGUUCAAUCCUUGUUUAUGAGAUUCUCACUUGCAUGGGAUUUCAUAAAGUUCUAGACAAAGCAAUUCUUUUUUGUGAAUUAUAAAUCUAGGAUUGUGUAGUUUUAUACUUUAAGAAAACAGAUUUUAGAUUUAUAUCAUUGAGUUAUGGUCAUUGAAACAAUAAGUUUUUCAAAAUUCUUAAGCUAACAAGAAAUUAAACCAUGUGGAAAAAAUACCUUGAUUUACUAUAGAUUAAAACUGUAAAUUUAUCUAAAUUCUUAAACUAAAUUGUUAUUUUUUCUCUUUUCUUUGAUUUUCAUAUUUGAAAUUUUAAAAUUGAUUUUAAAUUAAUUUUCAUAAAAAUACAUUAAAUUUAUAUUUUUUAUAUUGUUCAAAAAUUCUAAUGUGUUGAUAUAAAAACAAAUCUAAAAAUUAAAAUAUAUAUUCUUAAUUAAAAAAUAAUUUAAAAAAAAACAUCAUCUUUUCCUCAAAUUUCAAGAAACAAAAGACAUACACCAUCUUUUCCUUAACCACUACCCGCAUUUAUUGCUUCAAACAAAAGUGAGUCCACUACUAGGCAUUUAUAAAUAAGGAAUUAAACUUUUAUUUAAGCUUACAUUGCAAAUUAGCAAUAAUUAAGCACAAGCACGCUCGCUUUCGAUACACUUCAUGGAUCUGCACGCAAUAAGAGUUUUCUUGAAUCGUCUUGCACAUGCACAUUCUAGCAAUACAGAUAUAAAUGACAUUAAAAAAACAGAAAAUUUGAAAUUAAAAAUCUUUUUAAGAUCUAAUUUGUUUUUUAUACGAUCUCAAGGUGAAAAUAUCUGAGUAAACUUUUUUUACUAAAUAAAAUUUAUUAAAAUUAAAAUUUAUCAUUUUAGUGGCUAUAAUUAAUGUCAGUACUGAUUUUUUUUUUCUAGCACCAGAAUCCGAUGAUAUCAAAAGUAAAAUUUUAUAUCAAAAUAUGAAUUUGUAAAGUUUUAUAACUAAAUUAACUUUUUAUAAUAACUUUGAACCUGUCACCUAUUUUUGCCAUAUUUUACAUUUUGUUUUUUUUUUUUAAAUCUUGUCCUUAGUUAGCAAAUUUGAUGCAAUUGUUUUUUAAUUUGGCUUAAAAACAAUGCAAUCGUGCAAAACAAAAUAUUUGAGAACUAAAAUAUGUUAUUGAGAUAAUUUUAGUGUGGAUUUUUAUAUUUUUAAAACUUAAGUUAAAAAAAGGAAAAGAUAAUAUUUAUUAUUUUUAUUUCUAAAAUAUUAUUAUAAAAAACGUUUAGAUUCAAAAUUGUUCGAUUAAGUAAGAAUAAAAAUACCUGAUAUAAAUAAAGUACAUGUCACAUGUCCCGUCUUGAUAAAAAAAUAAAAAUUUAAAAGAAGAAUAUUUUACCCUGAGUUUUACCUUAGAUUGCACAGAUGAACCUAGGUUUUAAAGGUAGCACCAAUUAUCACUCUAUUAUCAUAGUUUCCCUAAAGGUUUUUUCUUUAAUCAUAUGCCAAGGCCAUGGGUGAGGAUGACCGAUGUCCGGUCGCUUGAUGGGUGAGGCCCAAGGAUUGAAAUUCUCUCAUCAAGAUGUUUCCAGGGAUGGUUCAGAAGGAAAAGCAUUUUGCGUGCUUAAAUGCAAGCCUAUAAUCAAGAAGAAUGCUUUAGAUGAUUUCUCAUAAGCAAUAAUCACCACCACCAACAGGUAAUUCGCAUCCACAAUCAUCUGAAAAAGGAACAAUGAACAAGCACAACAUUGAUUUACAAGGAAGUAGGCUUACACUAAAUUCAAGUAGUCAACAAAGUUACUUGCAACAUAAAUUUCACAGCAGAAUAGAACAGUACAGCAAUAUUCCGUAACCAUACCACUCUCAACUUUUAUUAAUUUAAUCAAAGAACUUCACUUUUCUGUACACAGUUUUAUAGUUAAAAGUUUCAGCCUGUCUCCUGGUAGUGGCAACAAGCAAGCAUUUUAGUGGUAACCGAUAGGAGCAGGAGCUUCCUUCAGUUCGCGUCCUUGAUAGUGUAUGUCCUGCAAGUGAUUCAAGAACAAUAAAUUAGCAUUUGAAAAAGAAAAAAGAGCGGUGUUAGAAGCAGAAAAUGAAUGAUUAAUUUAAUCUAUGCAGAAAAGGAAAGGCCUCAGUUGAAAAAUCAUGAUGAAGUUGGACAAUUUCAGUCGGAUUCUCACCGAUGCAAAGUGAUUCACAUCACGGUGAUGUGCUUCAUCAGCUCUAACAACCUCAACAACAUCGCGGAGGGUGGAGUUAGGAGGCAAGCGCCAGUAAUCAAUAGCGAUGGCCGGAGCUGGAACAUUCUUAAUGUUGCCUUUGUCCAACUCCUUCAGGAACUCGGUGUAAGAAUGAAUAGCUUCCUCCUCCAGAUACCCCACCAUGCGAUGAGCGAAUUUGGGGGAGAUGAGGUAGCCAAGGAAGUAAGCAUUGAAGAAAACACCUUGGACAGUAAUCACUAGAGCACGUUCAUACCACCUGGGAUUUGCCACCUCCAUGAAUGUCAUGAGAUGCAUUCGCUCGUUUUCAGCCUCUUCAAGUAAUGCUUUGAUCCAUCC
rnacentral:lncRNA from 1 species